CCUACGGGCGGCAUCAGUGGGGAAUAUUGGACAAUGGGGGGAACCCUGAUCCAGCGACGCCGCGUGAGUGAAGAAGUAUUUCGGUAUGUAAAGCUCUAUCAGCAGGGAAGAAAGAAAUGACGGUACCUGACUAAGCAGCCGCGGCUAACUACGUGCCAGCAGCCGCGGUAAUACGUAGGGGGCAAGUGUUAUCCGGAUUUACUGGGGGGAAAGGGAGCGUAGACGGGGAUGCAAGUCUGAAGUGAAAGGCGGAGGCGCAACCCCUGGACUGCUUUGGAACCUGUAUGGCUGGAGUGCAGGAGAGGUAAGUGGAAUUCCUAGUGUAGCGGUGAAAUGCGUAGAUAUUAGGAGGAACACCAGUGGCGAAGGCGGCUUACUGGACUGUAACUGACGUUGAGGCUCGAAAGCGUGGGGAGCAAACAGGAUUAGAUACCCGAGUAGUC
rnacentral:rRNA from 1 species